GGAGUGGGGGGUGGGAGAAACCAACCCCCACUGCUGCCACCCAAAGGCCCCUCGAACCUGCAGCUGGCCCUGAUAAAUUUGCAACGAUGCUCAUACCCUGAUUAAGAUGGAAUUCCUGACAUACUCACAGAGGCCACUGGGGGCCUUCUUAAUGAGGCCCAUCAGGAGCACUCUCAACUUCAGGUCGCCCACCCACAACAUUUCCUUCAAUAAAGCCCUUGGAUAACUUUUAAGAAGUUACUGUCCAACUGCAGACCCAGCCCAGCUCUGAGCGGCUUGAGAGAAGACCCAGGAGAUUCCCAGCCCAAGUCAGCUUGGCUGCAGAAGACACUCUGUGCAAGGCCCUUCCUUCUCGAAGAACAAAUGCUACAAAGAAGACCUUGCCCAAGCCACAAAAAGAUGUCAACUUCUGCACCACUGGGAGGGCAGAGAAAGCUGAGCUUGGGAAAUUGGAACGGGUUUCAAUCAAACCCAAAGACUUGAGCAAAUGGACAA